AUUGAACGCUGGCGGCAGGCCUAACACAUGCAAGUCGAGCGAGCGGCGGACGGGUGAGUAAUGUCUGGGAAACUGCCUGAUGGAGGGGGAUAACUACUGGAAACGGUAGCUAAUACCGCAUACCAUCAGAUGUGCCCAGAUGGGAUUAGCUGGGAGGGGGGGGAACGGCUCACCUAGGCGACGAUCCCUAGCGGGUCUGGGAGGAUGACCCGCAACACUGGAACUGAGACACGGUCCAGACUCCUCGGGGAGGCAGCAGAGGGGAAUAUUGCACAAUGGGCGCAAGCCUGAUGCAGCCAUGCCGCGGGGAUGAAGAAGGCCUUCGGGUUGUAAAGUACUUUCAGCGGGGAGGCGUUACCCGCAGAAGAAGCACCGGCUAACUCCGUGCCAGCAGCCGCGGUAAUAC
rnacentral:rRNA from 1 species